GGGGAAUAUUGGACAAUGGGCGCAAGCCUGAUCCAGCCAUGCCGCGUGUGUGAUGAAGGCCUUAGGGUUGUAAAGCACUUUCACCGAUGAAGAUAAUGACGGUAGUCGGAGAAGAAGCCCCGGCUAACUUCGUGCCAGCAGCCGCGGUAAUACGAAGGGGGCUAGCGUUGUUCGGAAUUACUGGGCGUAAAGCGCACGUAGGCGGAUUGGUCAGUUAGGGGUGAAAUCCCAGGGCUCAACCCUGGAACUGCCUUUAAUACUGCCAGUCUUGAGUUCGAGAGAGGUGAGUGGAAUUCCGAGUGUAGAGGUGAAAUUCGUAGAUAUUCGGAGGAACACCAGUGGCGAAGGCGGCUCACUGGCUCGAUACUGACGCUGAGGUGCGAGAGCGUUGGGAGCAAAC
rnacentral:rRNA from 1 species